rnacentral:rRNA from 1 species
UGGCCGUAAACGAUGUGGACUUGGUGUUGGAAUGGCUCCGAGCUGCUCCAGUGCCGAAGGGAAGCUGUUAAGUCCACCGCCUGGGAAGUACGGUCGCAAGGCUGAAACUUAAAGGAAUUGGCGGGGGAGCACAACAACGGGUGGAGCUUGCGGUUUAAUUGGAUUCAACGCCGGAAAUCUUACCGGGACCGACAGCAACAUGAAGGCCAGGCUGAAGACUUUGCCGGAUUAGCUGAGAGGAGGUGCAUGGCGUAGUCGUGU